rnacentral:tRNA from 2 species
UUAGCUCAGUCGGUAGAGCAGCGGACUUUUAAUCCGUUGGUCGAAGGUUCGAAUCCUUCA